CCCUUAGAUGUUCUGGGCCGCACGCGCGCUACACUGAUACAGGCAGCAAGUUUGUAUGUGUCCUUGGCUGAGAGGCCUGGGUAAUCUUGUGAAAUUGUAUCGUGAUGGGGAUAGGUCACUGUAAUCGUUGACCUUUAACGAGGAAUUCCUAGUACGCGCAAGUCAUCAGCUUGCAUGGAUUACGUCCCUGCCCUUUGUACACACCGCCCGUCGCACCUACCGAUUGAGUGGUCCGGUGAAGACCUCGGACUGUGGCUGCGGUUGCUUGAUUGCGACUGUGUGCUGUGGGAAGUUGUCUAAAUCUUAUCACUUAGAGGAAGGUGAAGUCGUANCA
rnacentral:rRNA from 1 species